UGCCGUGGAUAUCUAUGGCUCGUCUGAAAUGCUUCAGUGUACCCCGCAAUGCGGCGUAUUCGGUGUGAUACAUCUUCACCGGAGUUGAUCCUUUGUUGGGUCGCGUCUGUCAAUGUGUGGCUCUAUGCUUCGAACCGUCUUGAUAGGACAAUCUCUGACAAUUCGACCUCAAAUCGGGUGGGACUACCCGCUGAACUUAA
rnacentral:misc_RNA from 1 species